UUUAGAGGAAGUAAAAGUCGUAACAAGGUUUCCGUAGGUGAACCUGCGGAAGGAUCAUUAUUGAAAUAAACCUGAUGGGUUGUUGCUGGCUCUCUAGGGAGCAUGUGCACACCUUGUCAUCUUUAUAUUUCCACCUGUGCACCUUUUGUAGACCCUCCCAGGUCUAUGUUUGCUUCAUUUACCCCUGAUGUAUGUUAAUAGAAUGUUGUGCCUAUAAAAUAUAUACAACUUUCAGCAACGGAUCUCUUGGCUCUCGCAUCGAUGAAGAACGCAGCGAAAUGCGAUAAGUAAUGUGAAUUGCAGAAUUCAGUGAAUCAUCGAAUCUUUGAACGCACCUUGCGCUCCUUGGUAUUCCGAGGAGCAUGCCUGUUUGAGUGUCAUUAAUAUAUAUAUAUCAACCCCCUCUUGUUGAGCGGUUUGGAUGUGGAGGUUUUUGCUGGCCGCCUAGAAAGGGUUCAGCUCCUCUGAAAUACAUUAGCGGAACAAACCUGUCCAUUCAUUGGUGUGAUAACUAUCUACGCUAUUGAAUGUGAGGCAGUUCAGCUUUCUAACGGUCCUUUGGACAACCUAUCAUUUUUAUGUGACCUCAAAUCAGGUAGGACUACCCGCUGAACUUAAGCAUAUCAAUAAGCGGAGGAAAAGAAACUAACAAGGAUUCCCCUAGUAACUGCGAGUGAAGCGGGAAAAGCUCAAAUUUAAAAUCUGGCGGUCUUUUGGCUGUCCGAGUUGUAAUCUAGAGAAGUGUUAUCCGCGCUGG
rnacentral:rRNA from 1 species